rnacentral:lncRNA from 1 species
CCCUGUACAAAAUACAACUCACUGCUCUGGGAGGGGGGAAGCUCAAAAUUAGUGCCCAUUCACAUAGUGAAUUAGUGUGAAUGAAUUUAGCAACUUCCUAGUAACAAAGGGGACUUUAUAUAACUUGAGAGCAGGUGUCUGGCAGGGGAGCUACUACAGAAAAUAGGGAAAACAGAAGGGCAAGGGGAGCCCUAAAUUUUUUUCCUAUAAACUUUUAUGACCACAAUUUAUCUAGAGGGAGAAGGCACAGAUAAGAAUGAGAAGUGGGAGUAGGAGGAGUGUGGAAAGCAGGGGGCACUCAGCUUGGCUUCUCAGAGGACUGGGUUAUCUAGGUCUCUAGUAGGGAAAAUGACCCUCUCACCACAUACAGAAGAAUCCAGGGAAGGGAAAGUCUAAGCUUAUCAUAAACUCCAACAAGAAGGAACCAGAAACUUCCAGUUUUGAAUCAUGUUGAACCAUCCUUCCAGCUCAUUCUUCAGCCCACGUGCUCCAGCCCUGCCAGCUAUGGACCCCAACUGUGACUGCUCAAAUGGUAAGGGACUCCUAGGUUCUCAGGUUGUCUUAGGGACCAGGAACCUGGGCUCUGCCCUGGCUUUGAUUUAAGCUAAAAGGGAAAGGCUUGGGAGGAAAGACGCUGCUGUUAGCAUGGAGAAAAUGGUUGGAUUGGCUCUAAAGUGGAGGAACUGAAAGCUUUUAUCCAUUUCUUAGAGGAAGCCCUAAAUAACAAAUGUACUGGACAGUGGGGACCCAGGUAUAGGAGCCAAUUGGAGAAGGGUUCUUUUGUUGAAGAAAAUGGCUGCUAGGCUCCCCGAGUUUUAGAGGGGGACGAUCAGGGUCCCAAGAUCUGGAAUCCGUGAUAAGCAGAGGAGCAGCCCGCUAAGUCCUUGGGUUUUACUGUAAGAUCUAAGGGUUGUAGCCUCCUUUUAGGGACCUGGAGGGGGGGGAGAUUGGGGAAUGAGAGGGAAAGGAUAAUCCCAUACUUUUGUUUUAUCCUGAAAUC